UCGGUUAUCAUGGUACCGAUGCUGUAUACGUGAAAAGUACAGUACUGUGAUAACUGAAG
rnacentral:pre_miRNA from 1 species